rnacentral:rRNA from 1 species
AAUUUCUAGUAUGAGAAAUUAACGAUUUAACGUCCUUCUUAAAUGAGGCCAUUUACCCAAAGAGGGUGCCAGGCCCGUAUAACGUUAAUGAUUACUAGAUGACAUUUCCAAAGAGUCGUGUUGCUUGAUAGUGCAGCACUAAGUGGGUGGUAAACUCCAUCUAAAACUAAAUAUAACCAUGAGACCGAUAGUAAACAAGUACCGUGAGGGAAAGUUGAAAAGAACUCUGAAUAGAGAGUUAAAUAGUACGUGAAACUGCUUAGAGGUUAAGCCCGAUGAACCUGAAUAUCCUUUAUGGGAAAUUCAUCAUUAUGAUUUUAAUAUUGAAAUAAUAUUAUUAAUAAUGGUGUGCAUUUUUUCCAUAUAUGGACAUUGUAAUCUAUUAAUAUACAGAAUUUAUUAAAAGAUCAUUGCAAUAAGUUUAUUCAAAUUAUUAUGCUUGCAUUUUAACAUAGAAUAAAUGCUUUUGAUUUGAUAAAGUGUUGAUAGAUUUAUUAUAUAUAGUGCUUGAAUAAAAUUUAUUCUAUAAUGGCAUAUUGAUCCAUAGAUCUUUGUGUUUAUAUUAUAUGCACUUAUAUGAUUAACAAUGCGAAAGAUUCAGGAUACCUUCGGGACCCGUCUUGAAACACGGACCAAGGAGUCUAACAUAUUUGCAAGUUAUUGGGAAUUAAAAACCUAAUAGCGAAAUUAACAUAACUAUAUUUAUAUAAUGGGAUUAGUUUUUAGUACUAUUUUUAUUAAUAGUCUAUUAAUUCAAUCCCGGGGCGUUCUAUACGGUUAUGUAUAAUAAUAUUUAUAUUAUUUAUACCUCUAACUAGAGCGUACCUUGAGCAUAUAUGCUGUGACCCGAAAGAUGGUGAACUAUACUUGAUCAGGUUGAAGUCAGGGGAAACCCUGAUGGAAGACCGAAACAGUUCUGACGUGCAAAUCGAUUGUCAG